UACGUAGGGGGCAAGCGUUGUCCGGAUUUAUUGGGCGUAAAGAGCGUGUAGGCGGCUUGGUAGGUCCGCUGUGAAAACUCGAGGCUCAACCUCGAGAUGUCGGCGGAAACCACUUGGCUAGAGUCCGGAAGAGGAGAGUGGAAUUCCCGGUGUAGCGGUGAAAUGCGCAGAUAUCGGGAAGAACACCUAUGGCGAAGGCAGCUCUCUGGGACGGUACUGACGCUGAGGCGCGAAAGCUAGGGGAGCGAACGGG
rnacentral:rRNA from 1 species